CAGUAAGGAACGAAGGAGUCACAUGCCCUCCCUUGACUAUAGAUGGGUCUGUUUUCCCUUCCCUGAUCCUUCGUUCUGGUGCAUCUGUGAGCUGGUCAGUAGGUUAAAAAUGCCNAGAUAAGCAAGCGCGAUUGCUUUAGAACAUUACAUGACCGCUUGGAGAUACUAAUUUUAUCUUCUNGUGUUCAAUUGAUAUCUCAGUCGUUCGCUUAAUACCCNCUAUCNACAUCUACAUAGCUCCCGCACUCAGCACUGUUCAUAGGGUUACUAGCUGUAUAUUAGCAUGAAGUCGACCUCAAUGCUGGUGUGAUGAGCNCUGUCCACACCACCGGGAAGUCCGUGCCCUACUCUUAGUNGAAUAGUUGUGUGGGUUCUUAACGUCUCUCUGCCGCUAAUGAGAAGUGUAGAGANACGGUACCUCCGGCUUUACGUCCUUUUCCGAGAAGACGAGGCACUGAGAGAGUUAAGUGUCCUCCCCAAGAACACAACGUGAUCUCCCCGUCUGGGAAUCGAACCCAGGCCUGUCGAUCCGAAGUCCAAUGACCAAAUCACUGGGCCAUCACGUCUCCUCUAUGUACUGACUGANUUGCAGUGUACAAUGUUGUACUUGAAUGACUUACAUUCUAUAUUAUUGUUUUCCCUUUAUAUCUUUAAAGGUCAAAGGAUUUGNUAACUUGUAUACACAAUGGAGCAGUAUUCACGAAAGCACUUUGUCAGCUGACCGAUAUUAUUUGUGGUCCUAUUCUUCAAGUACUUGAAAACAGAUUAAAACUCAACGAGAGAAGAGCAAUUCUGCUUGAACAGGAAAAAGAGUGGUUAUCGAAAGAAUUGAAAACAUUNUCCGGGGAGUAAUGAAGACAUGGGCCGUAGUGUAACCUAACGUGAACGGAUUUAAAUUCAGUGAUCUUCAAGACAAUNCUGAUAAUCGCACAGUCGUNUUGUCAAGAAAAAAUGUCACACUUUUUAAAGUUAUAAAGUAUGAGAAAGCCUUAGAAUCAAUUCAGAUUUGUUUAGCAUAACGAUAUAACGUAGACCUUAUUACUUUAUUAGAAAAAUUGGGUGAUACUCCCCUAUAUUUGCUAUACGGGUAUGUGCUUAUCGAUAGGNUCGGAGCUCCAAGUAUGGGAUAGGGUAUAAUUUUUUGCCCAUUUGGCAGAUANACUUUUGCAUGUUUAUUUUUUUGUUGUUGUCAUUUGCUAAAGAAAAUUAAACUAGACGCUCUAUGAGCGUAAAGUCAGGCUACUCAGAGAAUGUUAAGGGUGUCUCUAACUCUUGUCAGCAAGUCUUUUUGUUCCCCACAAAAUGACGUACAUGCAUGUACUUGAUGGCAAGCAAAAGAAAGAGCAAAAACAUCGCGAUCAAUCCCUGUCAGAAACCUGACGGCCUAGAGUACAUCAUCGUAAGUUAAUACAUUUUGCUUUACUUAUAUACCAGUAUUUUUGCUUACUGAAAACCAUACCAUGACAUUAUUAUUAUGUAAAUCAACUUCCUUAUAUUAUUGCCAUGCAUCUUCAGAAUGUUUNANAUUAAUAAUAGNUUCUUUUGGUUAUAUAUCCUAGACAGUAUAGUAUAACUUAUUUCCAACAUUUACAUUGCGUUUUCUAGGUCCACCAAUUGCAAGGCAUGCAGUUUUUGUNAUUAAUCAAUGUACAUUAUUUCAUUGCAUGUCGACAUUACCCAAACAGUCUCAUUUUGCCUUGAGAUACCCUGACUGCAUAGGAUGUUUCCAAAAUCCUCUGCUCACAGGGUACCUUGAGAGUACUUACACUAUUUUGCUGCGAUUUAAUAUUACUGCACAUGCAGGGUGCUUGUUUUUUUUCUACAUCUCUACUUAAAUUAAACUUAGUAUACAAUGACUGAUUUUGAGACUUUUAUAAGUAUGGGAUAAAUAUUCGCAAAUAAAAGUUAAAUUGUUCA
rnacentral:lncRNA from 1 species